AACGCACAUUGCGCCUUCUGGUAUUCCGGGAGGCAUGCCUGUUCGAGCGUCAUCAAACACAUCCUCAAGCAAUUUUGCUUGGUCUUGGAGGAAGAUGUCAACAUCUCCUCUCAAAUACCUCAGCGGAAACCUCUGCAGCAUCAGGUGUGAUAAUAGCUUUUCACUUGGUGACUGUGGUUAUGUUCUUGCUGUCAAGAGCCCCCCAGCUUCUAUAAGUUUGACCUCGGAUCAGGUAGGGAUACCCGCUGAACUUAA
rnacentral:misc_RNA from 1 species